UACGGAGGGAGCUAGCGUUGUUCGGAAUUACUGGGCGUAAAGCGCACGUAGGCGGCUUUGUAAGUUAGAGGUGAAAGCCCGGGGCUCAACUCCGGAACUGCCUUUGAGACUGCAUCGCUUGAAUCCAGGAGAGGUGAGUGGAAUUCCGAGUGUAGAGGUGAAAUUCGUAGAUAUUCGGAAGAACACCAACGGCGAAGGCAGCUCGCUGGGACGGAACUGACGCUAAGGCGCGAAAGCGUGGGGAGCGAACAGG
rnacentral:rRNA from 1 species